UUUUGGACAAUGGGGGAAACCCUGAUCCAGCGACGCCGCGUGUGGGAUGAAGGGGUUAUGCCCUGUAAACCACUGUCAGCAGAGAAGAAAAGACCCCUUUGGGGUCCGGGACUGUAUCUGCAGAGGAAGGACCGGCUAACUACGUGCCAGCAGCCGCGGUAAUACGUAGGGUCCAAGCGUUGUCCGGAAUUACUGGGUAUAAAGGGUGCGCAGGCGGUCUUGUGCGUCGAAGGUUAAAUACCAUGGCUCAACUAUGGAAAUGCCCUCGAUACGGCAAGACUUGAGUGUGAGAGGGGAAGAUGGAAUUCCUGGUGUAGCAGUGAAAUGCGUAGAUAUCAGGAGGAACACCGGUGGCGAAGGCGGUCUUCUGGCUCAUUACUGACGCUCAGGCACGAAAGCGUGGGGAGCGAACAGG
rnacentral:rRNA from 1 species